rnacentral:rRNA from 1 species
GACGAACGCUGGCGGCGUGCUUAACACAUGCAAGUCGAACGGAAAGGCCCUGCUUUUGUGGGGUGCUCGAGUGGCGAACGGGUGAGUAACACGUGAGUAACCUGCCCUUGACUUUGGGAUAACUUCAGGAAACUUGGGCUAAUACCGGAUAGGAGCUCCUGCUGCAUGGUGGGGGUUGGAAAGUUUCGGCGGUUGGGGAUGGACUCGCGGCUUAUCAGCUUGUUGGUGGGGUAGUGGCUUACCAAGGCUUUGACGGGUAGCCGGCCUGAGAGGGUGACCGGCCACAUGGGGACUGCGAUACGGACCAGACUCCAACGGGAGGCAGCAGUGGGGAAUAUUGCACAAUGGGGGGAAGCCUGAUGCAGCAACGCCGCGUGCGGGAUGACGGCCUUCGGGUUGUAAACCGCUUUCGCCUGUGACGAAGCGUGAGUGACGGUAAUGGGUAAAGAAGCACCGGCUAACUACGUG